rnacentral:rRNA from 1 species
AUUGAACGCUGGCGGCAUGCCUUACACAUGCAAGUCGAACGGUAGAGGGGCAACCCUCGAGAGUGGCGAACGGGUGAGUAAUGCAUCGGAACGUGCCCAGUCGUGGGGGAUAACACUUCGAAAGAAGUGCUAAUACCGCAUACGACCUGAGGGUGAAAGCGGGGGACCGCAAGGCCUCGCGCGAUUGGAGGGGCCGAUGGCAGAUUAGGUAGUUGGUGGGGUAAAGGCCCACCAAGCCGACGAUCUGUAGCUGGUCUGAGAGGACGACCAGCCACACUGGGACUGAGACACGGCCCAGACUCCUACGGGAGGCAGCAGUGGGGAAUUUUGGACAAUGGGCGCAAGCCUGAUCCAGCCAUGCCGCGUGCGGGAAGAAGGCCUUCGGGUUGUAAACCGCUUUUGUCAGGGAAGAAACGCUCCGGGCUAAUACCCUGGGGUAAUGACGGUACCUGAAGAAUAAGCACCGGCUAACUACGUGCCAGCAGCCGCAGUAACAC